GGGUAUAGCUGAAACUGCAGUACCUGAAAGGUAAUAUAAAAACAGAAAAAAUAAUCUUUUCAAAAGUAAAGCUACAUUGUCCAUGUUGUCGGACUAAUUUUUUGCAACAUGGACACAAAUUUCUAAACAAAAUGAAAAGUUCAGAUUUAAUUUUUUUGUCCAGGAACUGGGGAUGGCAAUGAGUACUCGAGUACUCGGGUACUCGGUCGGAAGGCCGAGUACUUGAGUACAGUUUUAGUACUCGGAUACUGGUUUCUCUGUUAUACAUCUUGACAUAUUUCUCUUCACAUUUCCACUCUCUUUAGUUUCGUUGAAAUACCCCCUUCGUAAUACUAAAUAAAAUCAAUUUACAACAUAAGUAUGUUUAUCUGAAGCUUUUAUUUGUUAUAGUAGUACCAGCAACGUCCUUUCCUUCCGAGGGAAUGUUUUCACGUGUACAACUUGUAACAAAUAAAAAGCCAAACAGUCUUUCGUCUGAAAUUGUUGACCAUAUCAUAUUUCUAAACCAGAACAAAAUCAAAGUGACCUUCGGUAAACCCUAUGCAACAGAUUAGAAAACUUUUUAACAGUGUUUGUACACGGAACAACACUUUCAUGGAUUAAUAAUCAAA
rnacentral:lncRNA from 1 species